rnacentral:rRNA from 1 species
AUAUUGCACAAUGGGGGAAACCCUGAUGCAGCCAUGCCGCGUGUGUGAAGAAGGCCUUCGGGUUGUAAAGCACUUUCAGUAGGGAGGAAAGGUAGCAGCUUAAUACGCUGUUGCUGUGACGUUACCUACAGAAGAAGGACCGGCUAACUCCGUGCCAGCAGCCGCGGUAAUACGGAGGGUCCGAGCGUUAAUCGGAAUUACUGGGCGUAAAGCGUGCGCAGGCGGUUUGUUAAGCGAGAUGUGAAAGCCCCGGGCUCAACCUGGGAAUUGCAUUUCGAACUGGCGAACUAGAGUCUUGUAGAGGGGGGUAGAAUUCCAGGUGUAGCGGUGAAAUGCGUAGAGAUCUGGAGGAAUACCGGUGGCGAAGGCGGCCCCCUGGACAAAGACUGACGCUCAGGCACGAAAGCGUGGGGAGCAAACAGGAUUAGAUACCCUGGUAGUCCACGCCGUAAACGAUGUCUACUCGGAGUUUGGUGUCUUGAACACUGGGCUCUCAAGCUAACGCAUUAAGUAGACCGCCUGGGGAGUACGGCCGCAAGGUUAAAACUCAAAUGAAUUGACGGGGGCCCGCACAAGA